AGUAACGCGUGAGUAACCUGCCUUUCAGAGGGGGAUAACGUUCUGAAAAGAACGCUAAUACCGCAUGAGACUACAGAGCUGCAUGGCUCAGUGGCCAAAGGAGCAAUCCGCUGAAAGAUGGACUCGCGUCCGAUUAGAUAGUAGGCGGGGUAACGGCCCACCUAGUCGACGAUCGGUAGCCGGACUGAGAGGUUGAACGGCCACAUUGGGACUGAGACACGGCCCAGACUCCUACGGGAGGCAGCAUG
rnacentral:rRNA from 1 species